UACUAAAUCCUAGGAAUAUCCUGGAGGCUGUGGCAACCCUUACUAAGCCCUGUAGCACACAACGUUAUUUUAAGAUGGUGAAGAUUAUUCCAUAACUAAUUCAUAACUAAGUGCCCUGGGUUUUGCUGGGAUAUUUUUCUUCCUGGUAGCUGGUAUAGUGCUGUGGUUUGGAUUUACUAUGAGAAUAGUGCUGAGAGCACACUGAUGUGUUAGCUGUUCCUAUGAAGGGCUUCUACUAAGUCAAGGACUUUCCAGCUUCCCAGGCUUUGCCAGCAAGGAGGUGCACAAGGAGCUGGGAGGGGACACAGCCAGUAUAAAUGACCCAGUCUGACCAGAAGGAUAUUCUAUAGCAAACAACAUAAUGCUCAGUAUAUAAACUGGGGCCAGUUGGCCGGGAGGCUGGAAUCACUGCUUGGGGACAGACUGAGCAUCCAUCAACGUGUGCUCUAAAGCUGAGAAGGUGGGCUUUGUGUACAGAAGCUCAAUGCCAUGAGAAAAAGGCUUCUCUCACAGACUUGAAGACCACCAUAGGUAGGGCCUGUUGCCCUCAUGAUUGAUGAGAUACUAAUGGAGAAGUCGCUAUCACCAACCAGCAUGGCUUGCACGGGUACAAGGCAAGCCUGGAUUCCUUUCUUCCUCUCAUCAUGCAGUGAAGGCACACUGACCUUAUAAGUGACGAUCCAUCAGAUUAUUUAUCUUCCAGCUCCAAAACAAGCAUAAAACCAGCUAGUCCUUCCAGUCAAACUUUAGAAAAGUCAUCCCAGAUUGUAAGGCUGCUGAUGAGGUUAACAGAUCAUUUGAGUAUCCAAGAAUAGACAUUUUGGCAUCACUCCUGCACAGUGGUCUCAACAACCUGAUGUCUCUUUUCCAGCUAUGGCCAUGGCCUAGCGUGUCAGAUAAUGUCUAAAAACAAAAAUCUAUAAUACAUGCAGCUGAGUAUGCUGUUGUCAGAAAAACAAAAUCAUUCCAGCUUUUUGACAGCAUGACUGCAUGAACUUUGCAGAGCAACAAAUGCUACGGCUAUGGUAAGCCAUCUCGCCUGACAGCUCUCCCUAAAGCCCUUAGGAAAGAGGUGAAGGGGACAAUAUGAAGAUUCACAGCAAUACACUUCUUAUCAGCAAUAUUUGAGCCUGAUAGUGAAAUAACAGUUUCACAAAACUGCUUUUUUCCGGUGCUCUGUUUCCAUAGGUAUGUAGAACGGACACCAGUGUCAAGGGACCAACAAUAUAAGAAGAUUCACUUGCUGGAAGUCAAAACUAAGCAAAUUCAGGCUGGAAGUGAGGCAUGAAUUUUUAACAAUGAAGCCAAUUAAUCACUGGAAAUCACACUCAUCCAGAGGUUCUUCAUCUCCUCCAGGACUGGAGAUCUGCUGAAAAGAAGUGUGGAAAUUAUCUAGCAGAAGGUACAGGCUUGAUGCAGAAACCUCUAAGUGUGUGCUCCUGUCUAUAUGAAGAAUUUACAAACAUGCCAAGAAUCUCUGCUUGUGUUUUUUCCUGUUUGGUUAUGUCUGGGUGCAGUUAUGCUGGGCCUCUUAUUUUUAGUUAUCAGGAUGGAUUGAGUUAUGUUACGAUACAGUAUUAGCAACUUUUGUCAGGAUGGUAAGUGUUUAUAUCUAUUUUAGUAAAAGAAACAUUGGAUCAGCAAGGUUUUAUGAAUUUGCAUGUAUGAAGGAAUAGAGGAAUUAAUAUUCUGAAAGGAUAUCUAUUGUUUCUGUGUAAUAUGUAUGGUGGCAUAUGCUUGAAAUACUUCUAUACUAGAAAUAUUUCAGCAAACAAAGAAAAAAUAAAUCCCGGAGAUGGGAGUUUCUGGCACAUUUUCCAAGAGCAGUGCUACAGUAAUUGUCAUGUACCUUGAAUAAAUGGAGAAGGAAAAUAAUUACAGAACAGCUACAAUUUGGGAAACAGCUUCAGCUAUGCUAUAAAUAAUGUAGGAGUAUUUAGUGUUCCCAAAAAUAGUUUAACAAAUGAAGGCUUUCACAGACAUCCUGGGGGAAACACAGAACUAACAUGUAUUUUCUGGGGAGGCUCAGAAGCAGGGUGCUGACUGAAAAACGGUGACAUGUAUAUGAUGAAAACAACCCACAGGAGGAAGGUCAAGGAUGAAGAGACAUUGGUGUUUGAAAUUCUGUACAGUCUUUUGCAUUUGUUUGUCUUUUGUCAGGAUCUUUUAUUAUGGCUGCUUUUAAGAUUAGACCCAAGACAACGCUUUGCUCAGUAGCUUCGCAGUUUCUACACAGAUUUUCAUUGGCUGCUCUCUGUGUCAGGAUGUGGUAGAAGUUAUACACCGUUCAGUACAACUGGCUCCUCAUUGUUGUGGCUUCUGUGUGGAGAAGAAGACCCCUUCUCCUCUGGCCUUUCUUUGGCCUUUGAAGACCACUUCUCUUACGCAAAUCAUCUCAAUGCCUGUGCGUCAGUGCAGCACAUCAGUGGUAAAAGAAAAAGGUUCUACUUGUUCUUUGCAAAUAUGCUGACCAUGUUACAAAGUCCAAGGCCUUUCUUUUUCUGGGGUAUAGAGCCUUUAGGCUUAUGAAGAUGACAGAUUUGCCUGAAAAAGCCUGUUUUGGGCCUUCUCAUGAAGUCCCUAGUUGGUUGGCACAGGUCUUUACUUUUCAGGGUGGCUAGCUAAGAUGUUUCAAAUGCAGUUCCACUCUUCUAAUAAGAUUAUGAGGUUUCCCAUGCCUAUGCCACUUUUUUGCUUGUUUGUUUGUUUGUUUUGUUUUGUUUUGUUUUGUUUUGUUUUUUGUUUGUUUGGGUUUUUUUAACCUAAAACGAGGGACAGUCAGAGUUGCGAUGCACCUCGGAAGACACUGGUGUUUUCAAAGGGCAAGAAAAUAUUUUAUUUGUUCAUUAAUACAUGCCAAAAGAAGCUGUCAUAUCCUGCUAAAUUCUCUUCUUGCUGUGAUGAAGGUACAAUACUCAGACAGUAGUUUUUGAAGGUGGUUGGUGGAAGUUGAGCUUCAGAGCUAUUUGUAGAUAGUCUCUUUAUGCUAAGGAGCAAUACUUCGUACUCUCAGUCCUCAGCAAAUGCUCCAUAAUGUGUCUUUUACAGCCAAGAUGGCCCAUCUGGCCUGUUUUCCAGACUGUAAAAAUACAAAAUUCUUGCAUCUCAGUUAAUACACUGUUUUGCUAGCAUCAGCUUAUCCAGGAACAAUCCAGCCAGUCCUGUGGUAGAAACUUCUUGCAAGAAUAUAAUAUAAUAUAAUACAUAUUCUUGCAAGAAUAUAAUAUAAUAUAAUAUAAUAUAAUAUAAUAUAAUAUAAUAUAAUAUAAUAUAAUAUAAUAUAAUAUAAUAUAAUCAGUGUGCCGGUGAGGACUGGUAAAAUCAGCAUGUAUUCAUCUUUGACAUAGACAACACAUUGAUCAGGCACGUGCUCCCAGCUUAAUGGAUGUGAUUAUUUCCCUUUAAUAAUUUGAAACCUUAUUCCUGAAGCUCUAGCACAACCACAAGCAACUUUGCUCUGCUUUGAGAACAGGUUGGACCAAAGAUCUAUAUGUGUAUUUUCCCAUCUAAAUUAUCCUGUGACCUAAUUUUAAAGCAGUUGAGCUGAGCACUAUGCAGAGUGGUAAGGUGAUUUGGAGAGAGAGAGUCACUUUGUACUUUCAUAUAAAAAAGGCCUGGACACCAUAUCCAUAGUUUGUGUCUGAUCUCCAGUGGACAAACAAUCUUCUGUAUAAUUUGGCUCAAAUUGUGAAAGUUCGAAUCUCCACUGUAUUGGUCAAAGAACCACUCAGGUAAGUUGGGGAAGCAGUAAUAUAUAUCCUUAAACACAUUUCACCAUGGAAGAAGACAGAACUAAAGAUAAGUAUUGUUUAGUGCCUAUCUUUGAUUUCCCUAUUUGAUUUUCUUUGUUCAUAUUUUCAUGUUUUUAGUUAGUCUGUCAUUGUUCUACACAUAGGCAGGUAAAGACUGCCUAAGUGCAUGUAAAAUAAUUUCAGUCCACAUGAAGGCUGCUUUCUUAGCCUAAAUCAAUUGUAAGUAUGUCUUUUUAUUUCUAUCCUUGGCAUUGAAGAGCACCUGAAAGGCUAUGGUGGAGAUCAGAUCCUCAGUACAAGUAUGUGAUGAAAGACAUUGUCAUAUUGUUUAAACUAGCUUGAAACUGAUUUUUUUUUUCCCUGAACUUAUGCCCUUCAGUCAUCUUCCAAGUUUUGAACAGAGUACAGUAGUUCCUGUUAAAAAAUUAUGUCUUACCUAAAGAAGAGCAUGUUUGCAAAAGGUAAAUUAGUUGGCUGAAAAGUGCUGUGGGAACACGUUCAGGUGUGCUCUGUUGUUCUCAAUCUACACAUCACCAUAGCUGAUGCAACAUCCCAUCAGAGACCCAUUUUAAUUGUAGGAUCAUGAAUCACACACACACAAAACAUUGGAAGCUAAAGGAUGUAGAACCAAUAAGAUUUAAAAAACAAAACAACUUUUUUAGUAAUUUUUUUCUGUAAGCCAGUAUUUAUAGCUCAUUGUCUUCCUUUUACCCCAAAUUUAAAAACAAAAACAAACCCAAACCAAAACAAAUAAAACCAAAAUGUCCAGUUCUUAGCAGGAAAGAGAUUCAAGAAAACAAGUAAUGAGAUUCAAGAAAUGGGGAAGAUUAAGCUGAAAAUUAUUUUCUUAACAGAGGGUGAGAAAAAGACUUUUUAAUCAACUAAAAGAAUGUGAACAUAUAAACACAAGAAAUGAAAAAAGAUCCCAGUUCCUUAUAUUAGGUGCUACAUAUGAAGUUUGAUUUACUGCUAGAUGUAAAGUCUGACUUGCUAGCACAUAGAACACUGUGAAAAUUUAACUUUUAACAGCUUUAUUGAAAUAUAUCCAAGUCAGUCCUGCAGUUCUAAUAAUAUUCAUAGAUAUUAGCAGGCCUUAUCAGGGCUUUUGCCUAGAGCUGUAAGACCAGGAAACACUUUAUUUCCAUCACACAAUAGAGCAUAACAAGAUAAACUGAGUUAAAGUAUACGUAGGUAGGUUGUCAGGAAACACAUUUCUUCAUAAUGACAUCUUUCCAACUGGAGGGUGAUCACAUGGAGGAAGAGUUGGAAAUCCUCUUAUUUGAAGAACUGCAAGCUGUAAAAAGCUUUUGGAAAUAUUUUGUGUAGGAGAUGUCUUUCACAGACAGAAGAUAGAAAGGCACUGAUGUGAGGCAGCUUUCCUGGAAACAGAAAUGGAGUUUUGUUAGAAAAAACAGGAAAUGUCCUUCUUUUACUUCUUCUCCACACACGCCUCCUCAUUUGUGCAAGAGAUUGGUCCUAAACUGUGCAAUCUGGGAUCAUCUGAUGGAAAAAAAAAAAGAGCUCAGUGCAGGCAACCGAUAGCUAGCAUGUUCUCACUUAUUUCCCUGAUUUAUUUUUAUCUGAGUGAACGAUAAUUUGCUGCAGGUCAUGUCAGGUAACACCCGACAUAAUUUGGAAGUGCAACGUAUAUAAGUAUUUUCUCAGUUGAAGCAAGUGACAAUAAAAACCAGCUUGACAUUCACUGAACAUUACAUGUCUGGUAUAUGAAAAAUUAAAGCAACUUGCAAGAAUCCUGAUUAAUACUGAUCAGAGUCUUUUACAGAGAAGUGUUUCUUUGUUGAUACUCUAGUGGGAAGGUGAUGUCAUCCAGAGGGACCUCCACAGGCUGUAAAGGAGGGUCUGUGCAAACUCACGAAGUUUAACAAGGCCCAAUGCAAGCUCCUGCAAACGGGUUGGGGCAAUCCCAAACAUGGGUAUAGGCUGGGCAAUGAGUGGAUCGAGGGCAGCCCUGCGGAGGAGGACUUGGGGAUGUCUGAGGAUGAAAAGCUGGACACGAUCUAGCAAUUUGCGCUUGCAGGCCAGAAGGCCAGCUGUAUCCUGGGCUGCAUCAAAAGGAGCGUGGCCAGCAGGUGGAGGGAGGUGAUUCUGCCCCUCUGCUCCACUCUGGUGAGACCCCACCUGGAGUCCUGUGUCCAGCUCUGGAGCCCUCAGCAUAGGACACACAUGGACCUGUUGGAGAGGGGGCUGAGGAGAAACCAAGACGAUCAGAGGCUGGAACAGCUCUGCUGGGAGGACAGGCUGAGAGAGUUGGGGGUGUUCAGCUGGAGAAGAGAAGGCUCCAGGGAGACCUUAUUGCGGCCUUUCAGUACUUAAAAGAAGCCAACAAGAAAGAUGGGGACAGACUUUUUAGCAUGAUCUGUUGUGACAGGACAAGCAGUAAUGGUUUUAAACAAAAGAGGGGAGAUUCAGGCUGGACAUGAGGAAGAAAUUUUUCACACUGAGGGUGGUGAAACCCUGGCCCAGGUUGCCCAGAGAGGUGGUGGAUGAACCAUCCCUGGAGACAUCCCAGGCCAGGCUGGACGGGGCUCUGAGCAACCUGAUCUGGGUGAAGAUGUCCCUGCUCAUGGCAGGGGUUGGACUGGAUGAGAUUUGAAGGUCCCUUCCAACCCAAACUAUUCUAUGAUUUCAUUAAUUUUAAAUUAACUGUGUACCACCUACUGCUUCAUAUAGUAUCCUGUACAGAUAGACAAGAAGAAUUAACACAUAAGCUCAUGUGCAGACUGAAUUUCUAAAAGCAUUUGGAUGAUAAUAAGAUGUAAAGAUACUUACAUGCACAAUUGUCAAACCUUCCUUGAUUUCAAUACAAGAUAGUUAUUUAAUCUAGUGAGAUAUUUUAGAAAAACUUCUAAGGCCAUCAGACUCUGCUUGUCAGUCUUUUCUGUUUAUCUUAGCUGAAAUGUUUUUUGUCUUUUACUUUGCACAUAAUGAUGGAGAAGAUGUGCCACAAAUAAGUAAAACCUCUAGAAGAAUUUGAAUAAGGAGGUUUUGUGCACCUCUCUUUUCCCCAUAUUGACCAUUUUCUUGUGGAAAGGGGAAGAACAGGAAAGGCACUGACAUAAUUUAGAUAUAUAGGUAGCUCCAGGCAUAAAGGCAGUUUCACUGAAUUUGCUUUACACUAAAGGGUUCCUUUGAACUGAAGACUAUAUAACUAGAUUUCAUCAGCAAAAGUACUUUCUGGUGAAACUGGCUUCUAGCAUUAUCAUGCAAAUGACACGUAGGGCUAAAACUCCAUCUGAACUGUAAGAUCAUCAAGAUGAUCUGGUGUAGUAAAUAUGUUGCAAAGAAAAAAAUACUACUAAUUAUCAGAAUGAACUUAUUUUUUGUCAUAUUUUGCACUGCUUUUAUGCAAGAUCCUUCUUCUUAGCAUGAUGCCUUUUUUUUUUUUUGAGAUUUUUCCACAAAUACAAUAUUUUACGAAGCGAAGAGAAGCCUGAACAUGUGAGCUACAUUGAUGUAUGGUCAAAAAUUCAAGUUGAAGAGGUUUAAAGCUCUGAAUACAACUAGGUACCUAUUUGUUUUACUAAGAAAAGAGCAAACUCCAUAAUUUUUAAGCCAGAUCAUAAUUUUGGUGUCCUGACUCAUUACUUUUUUUGUAAAAUGGCUCAACAUAUAUACAAAUAUAUUUAACCAUAUGUGUUCAUCAUUUAAAACCAAAAUUUAGAAAAUAUGUGGCAUAGUGCAUUUGGGAAAAUUCCAGCUUGGAAACUGUCCCAAGUAUGGGCUUUCUGCAUUCCGAGUUUUGUGCUGUCUCCUGUACACACAAAUCAGCUCACAUAAUCACGAAGGUAGGCUGGCAUCUGAAAGGAGCACAGAUCUGUUCAAACCGAUCACUCUCAUUCAGCAUCAUUUCCAAAGAAGAGAUGGGUGGGAAACAUGAAAUGUCCAAGCUAUUGAUAUGGCAUUUAUUAUUAUUUAAAUCUUAGGUGAGGGCAGUAUCACACAGGCAAGCGCAAUAGGUUCACAGUCCUUCCACACAGAUGAGCUUGUAUUUCUGGCUAGAGAAGGGAUGAGUGUCACCGUGAUACCUGAGCCCACAAUAAACAGACAGGAUCCGCAUUUCUCUUAUUUUUUCACUCAGUUUUCUUCUGCUCGUCGUGCUUUUUACUAGAACUAGCAGCCUGCUGGUCAAAAUCCUGUAUGUGUUUGUGUCCCAACAGGCUACAGUUGCAUUAAAAAACAAAAAACUUUUUGCAGUGCUUCUUACAAUUAAGUAUAAUAAUGAUCCUUACAAUUAAGUAUUCCCUGGCUGAUGUGUCCCCUGCUCAAAGUGCUGUUAUUUACUCCCGUUACAUUGCCAGAGUGGGUAAAAAAUGCAAAAAAACCCUACUGCAAAAUAAGAUAAUCUGACAAUCUUUAAAUUUACAGCUCUCCUUAUGGAGAGCAUAGAGCAUGCAAGACAGCUGAGACAUUCCUGGGUUUUCAUGAUAGGGUCUAUCAGAAGCACAGCAUUCAUACAAUUUUAGAAGUUGUGUGCUUCAUCUGAACAGAAUUAAUGCAGGUGAACAGGUGGGAGACAUGGAUUCUUUUUUGUUUUUUUCUUUUCUCCCAGCAAUAUAGCCAAUUCCUUAUGACAUAGAACUUCAUUAAUAAAAUAUUGAACCUGCAUAUGCUGAAGAACAUGGAAAGCUUGUACUGUGAGAAAAGUGAUCUGGAGAGUUAUUUGUCACAAAUAUAAACUUCGAUGUAAUCAGGAUCAGAGAGGCAUUUAGUCAUAUAUGUCCAUGGAAUUAAGUCAAGAAGGAAGAAAUUUUUCUUCUUGACAUGAUCUAUAGUAUCCUGCAUUGAAGUUAUGUUUGCAUGGUCUUGUCUCAAAUACAAAGAGAACCAGGCAGCACAAAAAACUUCAUGGUUUUGAACUGUAUAGCUGUUGCUAAGAGAAAAGCAAAUAAAAUUCAAGGAUACUCUUGAUCUAACUGAGACUUUUAUACUAAUUGUUUACCCAGAUGAUGCUAUGUGGCUUCUGCAGAUGUUUUUCUGUCUGGCCGGUUUACCAACAUGGAAGUGUGUAUCUGGAGAAACGCUGGUUUUGAAAAGAGCUAUGAGUGUCAUCAGGAGAGGCUGGUCAGGAAUUAGCAACAUCCGAAGGAAAAAGAAGGCUGGCAUUUUAACAACUUGCAUUUAUUCUCUCUUUAAGUCAUAAUAUUGGGAGUGUUAUAACUGCAGAAGGUGGACUGCAAAGAGAUGACAGAUCCUGCACAAGCAUGUGUCUGUGAUUUGGACAUCCCAGCAAACUCUGCAGAAAGUUGCAGCAUUUCUUUGGUCUUUUAUGAGAUAGAAACUCUUCAAGGAAGCAGUAAAUAUGUGACUUUAAGUGUAAAAUACUUCCUGUAAUAAGAGUAGUUACAGGAAACAAAGCAAAUAAGCUAUUUACAACCACGCAGUCUUUUAGCCCAGACACUGAUGACAUAAAACUGGCAUACAACUAGGAGGAAAAAAACAGGGUGGAAAUUCAGGUACAAUGAAAAAUUCAAGGCGUUAUGUCACUGAUCCUCAGCCUAAGAUCACAGCAGCUUUUUAUUACUUGUGGAAUAAUACUGCAAGAUUCAUGAUAGCAUGCUGUUUUCCAGGUAUGAAAGAGCCCAGGUCAUGAUAACAGUCCCAGCUAUUCUCAGAGCAUUCAUCCAGGUUUUACUGAAAACACCACCAAACAGCACAGUGAAUGACUCCUCUGUUGAGGCACGCUGAUAAAAAUGUACAUUUCCUUCCAGUGACAGUAGGCUUUCCUCAUUUUGCACUGUGCAGAAAGCUGCUCCAGUAGGGUGGUGCUCUUGGCAUCUCUCCACUAUCUCUUCCAUAUUAUUUCAAUCGUGAUGGGGAGGUUGUACGACAAAAUAGUCUGAAAUGUUGUCACUGCGCAUGCAACUUCUACAAUUUCUCUGCAUGGCACAUUGACAGAAACAUGCCUUGACAUGGGAAACAUCAUGGGAAACUCUGUGAACACCUCUGGAACUGGAGACCAAUGCUGGUACUAGAGAGAAUGCAGAGGAGGCAACGAAGCUGGUGAGGGGUCUGGAGCACAAGUCUGAUGGGGAGCAGCUGAGGGAACUGGGGCUGUUCAGCCUGGAGAAAAGGAGGCUUGGGGGAGACCUUAUCACUGUCUGCAACUGCCUGAAAGGAGGUUGUAGCAUGGAGGGUGUUGGUCUCUCCUCCCAGUGACAGGUGAAAAGACGAGAGGAAAUGGCCUCAGGUUGAACCAGGGGAGGUUCAGAUUGGGUAUUAAGAAAAAAUUAUCCAUGGAAAGGGUUUUCAGGCAUUGGAUCAGGCUGCCCAGGGAGGUGAUGGAGUCACCAUCCCUAGAGGGGUUUAAAAAAUGUGUAGAUUAAGUUCUUGGAAACGUGGUUUAGUGACAGUGUUAGGUUAAUGGUUGGAUUGAAUGGUCUGAGGGUCUCUUCCAAACAAAAAAGAAAUAAAAAAGACAGGAAAAAGGAAUUUGGGCAAGCUGGGCGAUCUGCUGUCACAAUUGGAGCUGUGUCCACAGGACCACAGGCCUCUUUCCAGUACACCUGCAAGCCUGGUGUUAGGAAAUGGUUAUGCUCUUUGCAAACAUCAGUAUAAUGUAGUUUUCACUACUGCCUUUCAUCUUAAAAAGCCAAUUAUAUGAGUUUGGUCAUGAUAUUUGCGAAUUUGUGAUGAACAGCUUCUGGAGAAUCUCCAUCUGGAUCAAGAUCCAUUAGUUUUUCUCAUGUGAGAGGACUGAGAGGCUCUUGAUGCUCUGCUUGCAGCCUCAAGAAACACAGGUUUGUGACAGACUUCUGGUGACUACCAGCUGAAAGAUUUGAAGGCCAGCAGGGAUGUUAGGGCAACCUCUGUGCAAUGUGGUGCCAGAGGACCUCUGCCAUGGAACAACAAGCCCUUAUCUUCUCUGUUUGCACUUCCAGACCAUUACCAGAGGAUUACAUGAGUGACCAGUGUGUCAUUCCCCGAGCCCCUGACACUCAUGACAGCUGCAUUCCUCAGAAUAGGAAGGAGAUGACACAAUGCUGCCUACUUGCUAAAUGAAACGCCAGCCUGGCGUUGACCUAGCCUGUCUCCAAUAACUGCAGAUGAUCUCUUACUGUCAGAGGGCAGGGAGGGAUCAGCCCAGAAAUAUUAGAGCAUUUUUAGAAGCACACAGUGAUGAAAGCAGUACAGAGAAAAGGUAACUUCUCUUGAUACUGAAAUUUAAAAAGCUGUUCUCUGCUUUUAAGUGUGGAUUUGGCCUCAUACUUGAAUACCAGUAUUUUUUUAAACUAUACUGCACAGCACACAGAGCUCUAGAGGAACUUACUAUACUUUGGAUGAAAAGAAAACCCCGUAGUAUUUUCCCAGCCUA